rnacentral:rRNA from 1 species
UCAUCUUGAACAGGCGUAAAGGGUUUGUAGGCGGCUUUAAAAAAUUAAAGCUAGAAUCUGAUAGAGGUCACUGUAAGAGAAUACUUAGAGUAGGGCUGACAUCUGUAGAUACUAAGUAGAAUUCUAAUAGCGAAGGCUCUUUUCCAAAUAAAGAUUGACGCUGAGACACGAAGGGGAGGAAAGACAAUAGGAUUAGAUACCCUGGCAUCCCUCCCUGUCAACGAUGAAUGGUAGUUGUUAGUUUUAUAAGCUAGUGACGAUGUUGACACGUUAACCAUUCCGCCUUGUGAGUAUAA